UCGGUUCAUCGAGAAAUGGGAGCGGCGAACGGGUGAGUAACACGUGGGUAACCUACCCAUCAGCGGGGGAUAACACUUGGAAACAGGUGCUAAUACCGCAUAAUUCUUUUCUUCGCCUGGAGGAAAGAUGAAAGACGCUUUUGCGUCACUGAUGGAUGGACCCGCGCUGCACUAGCUAGUUGGUGGGGUAACGGCUCACCAAGGCCACGAUGCAUAGCCGACCUGAGAGGGUGAUCGGCCACACUGGGACUGAGACACGGCCCAGACUCCUACGGGAGGCAGCAGUAGGGAAUCUUCGGCAAUGGACGAAAGUCUGACCGAGCAACGCCGCGUGAGUGAAGAAGGUUUUCGGAUCGUAAAACUCUGUUGUUAGAGAAGAAUAAGGAUGAGAGUAGAAUGUUCAUCCCUUGACGGUAUCUAACCAGAAAGCCACGGCUAACUACGUGCCAGCAGCCGCGGUAAUACGUAGGUGGCAAGCGUUGUCCGGAUUUAUUGGGCGUAAAGCGAGCGCAGGCGGUUUCUUAAGUCUGAUGUGAAAGCCCCCGGCUUAACCGGGGAGGGUCAUUGGAAACUGGGAGACUUGAGUGCAGAAGAGGAGAGUGGAAUUCCAUGUGUAGCGGUGAAAUGCGUAGAUAUAUGGAGGAACACCAGUGGCGAAGGCGACUCUCUGGUCUGUAACUGACGCUGAGG
rnacentral:rRNA from 1 species